GGUGAGUCUGCAGGUCUCAGUCUAGUCCUCAGGUCUGGUGAGUCUGCAGGUCUCAGUCUAGUCUUCAGGUCUGGGUCUAGUCCUCAGGUCUGGUGAGUCUGCAGGUCUCAGACUAGUCUUCAGGUCUGGUGAGUCUGCAGGUCUCAGACUAGUCUUCAGGUCUGGGUCUAGUCUUCAGGUCUCAGACUAGUCCUCAGGUCUCAGUCUAGUCCUCAGGUCUGGUGAGUCUGCAGGUCUCAGACUAGUCCUCAGGUCUGGUGAGUCUGCAGGUCUCAGUCUAGUCCUCAGGUCUGGUGAGUCUGCAGGUCUCAGUCUAGUCUUCAGGUCUGGGUCUAGUCCUCAGGUCACAGACUAGUCCUCAGGUCUGGUGAGUCUGCAGGUCUCAGUCUAGUCCUCAGGUCUGGUGAGUCUGCAGGUCUCAGUCUAGUCUUCAGGUCUGGGUCUAGUCCUCAGGUCUCAGUCUAGUCCUCAGGUCUGGUGAGUCUGCAGGUCUCAGACUAGUCUUCAGGUCUCAGUCUACUCCUCAGGUCUCAGACUAGUCCUCAGGUCCGGGUGUAGUCUUGAGGUCUGGGUCUAGUCCUCAGGUCUGGUGAGUCUUCCUCAGGUCUGGUGAGUCUUCAGGUCCGGGUCUAGUCCUCAGGUCUGGGUCUAGUCCUCAGGUCUGGGUCUAGUCCUCAGGUCUGGGUCUAGUCCUCAGGUCUGGUGAGUCUGCAGGUGUUUUUCUUGGUUCAGAAACAGGAAGUGUUUUUGCAUAGACGUGAGAACAAGUCAGACUCAUGCAGAUGAAUAAAUACAGAGAAGGAAGACAGGUGAAACAACGACAGGUGACUUUAUAAAAACAAGUGUUGAAUCAUCAUCAUCAUCAUCAUCAUCAUCAUCAUCAUCAUCAAAACGAUUCAAAACAAACAAACUUUAUUCAACAAACAAAACAUCAAGUUGAGCGUCUGUGUGGAGCUACUGAUCCGGCUCUUUCAUAUUGCUUGUAGUGCAGAGAGACCCGAGGUGUGUGUGUGUGUGUGUGUGUGUGUGUGUGUGUGUGUGUGUGUGUGUGUGUGUGUGUGUG